rnacentral:rRNA from 1 species
AGGACGAACGCUGGCGGCGUGCUUAACACAUGCAAGUCGAGCGGUGAUCCUCCUUCGGGAGGUGAUCAGCGGCGAACGGGUGAGUAACACGUGGGCAACCUGCCCCUCACACUGGGAUAACCUCGGGAAACCGGGCUAAUACCGGAUACGACCUCGAGCGGCAUCUCUUGAGGUGGAAAGCUCCGACGGUGAGGGAUGGGCCCGCGGCCUAUCAGCUUGUUGGUGGGGUAAUGGCCUACCAAGGCGACGACGGGUAGCC